CGUGUAGGCGGCCAAGCAGGUCCGUUGUGAAAACUGGAGGCUUAACCUCCAGACGUCGACGGAAACCGCGUGGCUAGAGUCCGGAAGAGGAGAGUGGAAUUCCUGGUGUAGCGGUGAAAUGCGCAGAUAUCAGGAAGAACACCAAUGGCGAAGGCAGCUCUCUGGGGCGGUACUGACGCUGAGACGCGAAAGCUUGGGUAGCAAACG
rnacentral:rRNA from 1 species